rnacentral:tRNA from 1 species
GAGGCUUUAGCUUAAUUAGAGCAUCUGGGUUGCAUUCAGAAAGUGUGGGAUAAAGUCCUGCAAGUCUUA